UACGAAGGGGACUAGCGUUGUUCGGAAUUACUGGGCGUAAAGCGCACGUAGGCGGAUUUGUAAGUCAGGGGUGAAAUCCCGGGGCUCAACCUCGGAACUGCCUUUGAUACUGCAAAUCUCGAGUCCGAUAGAGGUGGGUGGAAUUCCUAGUGUAGAGGUGAAAUUCGUAGAUAUUAGGAAGAACACCGGUGGCGAAGGCGGCCCACUGGAUCGGUACUGACGCUGAGGUGCGGAAGCGUGGGGAGCAAACAGG
rnacentral:rRNA from 1 species